UGGGGAAUAUUGCGCAAUGGGGGGAACCCUGACGCAGCCAUGCCGCGUGAAUGAAGAAGGCCUUCGGGUUGUAAAGUUCUUUCGGUAUUGAGGAAGGUUGAUGUGUUAAUAGCACAUCAAAUUGACGUUAAAUACAGAAGAAGCACCGGCUAACUCCGUGCCAGCAGCCGCGGUAAUACGGAGGGUGCGAGCGUUAAUCGGAAUAACUGGGCGUAAAGGGCACGCAGGCGGUUAUUUAAGUGAGGUGUGAAAGCCCCGGGCUUAACCUGGGAAUUGCAUUUCAGACUGGGUAACUAGAGUACUUUAGGGGGGGGUAGAAUUCCACGUGUAGCGGUGAAAUGCGUAGAGAUGUGGAGGAAUACCGAAGGCGAAGGCAGCCCCUUGGGAAUGUACUGACGCUCAUGUGCGAAAGCGUGGGGAGCAAACAGGAUUAGAUACCCUGGUAGUCCACGCUGUAAACGCUGUCGAUUUGGGGGUUGGGGUUUAACUCUGGCGCCCGUAGCUAACGUGAUAAAUCGACCGCCUGGGGAGUACGGCCGCAAGGUUA
rnacentral:rRNA from 1 species